GAUCGGUGCUUGCACUGAGAUUCAACAUGGCACGAGUGGCGGACGGGUGAGUAACACGUGGGUAACCUGCCCUCCAGUGGGGGAUAACAUUUGGAAACAGAUGCUAAUACCGCAUAGAUCCAAGAACCGCAUGGUUCUUGGCUGAAAGAUGGCGUAAGCUAUCGCUUUUGGAUGGACCCGCGGCGUAUUAGCUAGUUGGUGAGGUAAUGGCUCACCAAGGCGAUGAUACGUAGCCGAACUGAGAGGUUGAUCGGCCACAUUGGGACUGAGACACGGCCCAAACUCCUACGGGAGGCAGCAGUAGGGAAUCUUCCACAAUGGACGCAAGUCUGAUGGAGCAACGCCGCGUGAGUGAAGAAGGCUUUCGGGUCGUAAAACUCUGUUGUUGGAGAAGAAUGGUCGGCAGAGUAACUGUUGUCGGCGUGACGGUAUCCAACCAGAAAGCCACGGCUAACUACGUGCCAGCAGCCGCGGUAAUACGUAGGUGGCAAGCGUUAUCCGGAUUUAUUGGGCGUAAAGCGAGCGCAGGCGGUUUUUUAAGUCUGAUGUGAAAGCCCUCGGCUUAACCGAGGAAGCGCAUCGGAAACUGGGAAACUUGAGUGCAGAAGAGGACAGUGGAACUCCAUGUGUAGCGGUGAAAUGCGU
rnacentral:rRNA from 1 species